rnacentral:tRNA from 1 species
GCGGCUGUGGCGGAAUAGGCAGACGCGUACGGUUGAGGGCCGUAUGGGUAACACCGUGCUGGUUCAAGUCCAGUCAGCCGCACCA